rnacentral:rRNA from 1 species
GAUGAACGCUGGCGGCGUGCCUAAUACAUGCCAGUCGAGCGAACGGACGAGAAUCUUGCUGCGCUGAUGUUAGCGGCGGACGGGUGAGAAACGCGUGUAUAACCUACCUAUAAGACGGGGAUAACUUCGGGAAACCGGAGCUAAUACCGUAGGAGAUUUUGAACCGCAGGGUGCAAAAGUGAAAGACGGUCUUGCUGGCACGUAUAGAUGGAUCUGCGCUGCAUUAGCUAGUUGUUAAGGUAACGGGUUACCAAGGCAACGAUGCAUAGCCGACCUGUUAGGGUGAUCGGCCACCCUGGAACUGAGCCACGGUCCUGACUCCUACGGGACGCCGCAGUAGGGAAUCUUCCGCAAUGGGCGAAAGCCUGACGGAGCGGCGCCGCGUGAGUGAUGACGGUCUUCCGUUCGUAAAAAUCUGUUAUUGGGGAAGAACAUCUGUGUCAGUAAAUGUGCCCAUCUUGACGGUACCUAGUAAGAAAGCCCCGGCUAACUACGUG